rnacentral:rRNA from 1 species
AUUGAACGCUGGCGGAAUGCUUUACACAUGCAAGUCGAACGGCAGCACGGGUGCUUGCACCUGGUGGCGAGUGGCGAACGGGUGAGUAAUACAUCGGAACGUACCCAGUUAUGGGGGAUAACUAACCGAAAGGUUAGCUAAUACCGCAUACGCCCUGAGGGGGAAAGCGGGGGACCGUAAGGCCUCGCGUAAUUGGAGCGGCCGAUGUCUGAUUAGCUAGUUGGUGAGGUAAAGGCUCACCAAGGCGACGAUCAGUAGCAGGUCUGAGAGGAUGAUCUGCCACAAUGGAACUGAGACACGGUCCAGACUCCUACGGGAGGCAGCAGUGGGGAAGUUUGGACAAUGGGGGAAACCCUGAUCCAGCCAUUCCGCGUGAGUGAAGAAGGCCUUCGGGUUGUAAAGCUCUUUCGGCAGGGAAGAAACGGUCUAGGUUAAUACCUUGGGCUAAUGAUGGUACCUGAAGAAGAAGCACCGGCUAACUACGUGCCAGCCGCCGCGGUAA